GGGUUAUUUGCAGCCACACCACCAUCAAUGACGUUAUUUUCUCUUUCCUCUUUGUCGAUGCAGACUGGGUUAUUUGCAGCCACACCAACAUCAAUGAGCAAAUAAUGGUCGGUUCUUGUCGUUCGGACAAGUUAGCAUGGCUGUCACCAAGCCGCCGGUGCUGGUCCCUGCUAUCACGUCGAAGUAAUCUGCUAGUCUUGCAUCUUCACCGUCCAGUUUCUAUGUAAUAACACAAAACAUAAAAUCUGUACUUAGUGAUAAGCAAAAGGUCAAUGUACUUAUCGUAGUCUAUGUCAAUUUGCUUUGUAUAUAUUAGACCUUUCUACUUCUAUUGGGAGAGAAAUUGACUCUUUUUUAUAAAGUUUUUAAAGUAUUGUUUGUUUGUAACGACAAA